UACGGGGGAUGCGAGCGUUAUCCGGAUUCAUUGGGUUUAAAGGGUGCGCAGGCGGGCCUUUAAGCCGGCGGUGAAAUCGCGGGGCUCAACCCCGUCGUGCCGUUGAAACUGGCGUUCUUGAGUGAGCGAGAAGUAUGCGGAAUGCGUGGUGUAGCGGUGAAAUGCAUAGAUAUCAUGCAGAACUCCGAUUGCGAAGGCAGCAUACCGGCGCUCAACUGACGCUCAUGCACGAAAGCGUGGGUAUCGAACAGG
rnacentral:rRNA from 1 species